GACGAACGCUGGCGGCGUGCCUAACACAUGCAAGUCGAGCGGAGACAGUGAGUAGCUUGCUAUGAACUGUUUUAGCGGCGGACGGGUGAGUAACGCGUGAGCAACCUUUCCCAGACAGGGGAAUAACACACCGAAAGGUGUACUAAUACCGCAUAAGACCACGGGAUCACAUGGUUCCGGGGUAAAAGAUUUAUCGGUUUGGGGUGGGCUCGCGUCCGAUUAGGUAGUUGGUGAGGUAACGGCCCACCAAGCCGACGAUCGGUAGCCGACCUGAGAGGGUGAUCGGCCACAUUGGGACUGAGACACGGCCCAAACUCCUACGGGAGGCAGCAGUGGGGAAUAUUGGGCAAUGGGGGGAACCCUGACCCAGCAACGCCGCGUGGAGGAAGAAGGUUUUCGGAUCGUAAACUCCUGUCCU
rnacentral:rRNA from 1 species